CGUACACUCCUACGGGAGGCAGCAGUGGGGAAUAUUGCACAAUGGGCGCAAGCCUGAUGCAGCGACGCCGCGUGGGGGAUGAAGGCCUUCGGGUUGUAAACUCCUUUCGCUAGGGACGAAGCUUUUUUGUGACGGUACCUAGAUAAGAAGCACCGGCUAACUACGUGCCAGCAGCCGCGGUAAUACGUAGGGUGCGAGCGUUGUCCGGAAUUACUGGGCGUAAAGGGCUCGUAGGUGGUUUGUCGCGUCGUCUGUGAAAUUCUGGGGCUUAACUCCGGGCGUGCAGGCGAUACGGGCAUAACUUGAGUGCUGUAGGGGUAACUGGAAUUCCUGGUGUAGCGGUGAAAUGCGCAGAUAUCAGGAGGAACACCGAUGGCGAAGGCAGGUUACUGGGCAGUUACUGACGCUGAGGAGCGAAAGCAUGGGUAGCGAACAGGAUUAGAUACCCUAGUAGUCCCAUG
rnacentral:rRNA from 1 species